rnacentral:ncRNA from 2 species
UCAUAACACUAGGGGCGCCAUUACGGCUGAGAUAGAGCAAUCUGGUCCCUUUGAACCUGUUAAGUUAAUGCUUGCGAAGGAAAGUGUAGACAUCAAGAG